rnacentral:rRNA from 1 species
CCGCGACGGGUGAGUAACACGUAUCCAACCUGCCGUCUACUCUUGGACAGCCUUCUGAAAGGAAGAUUAAUACAAGAUGGCAUCAUGAGUUCACAUGUUCACAUGAUUAAAGGUAUUCCGGUAGACGAUGGGGAUGCGUUCCAUUAGAUAGUAGGCGGGGUAACGGCCCACCUAGUCUUCGAUGGAUAGGGGUUCUGAGAGGAAGGUCCCCCACAUUGGAACUGAGACACGGUCCAA